GCACUAUUGGAGCGGCCGAUAUCGGAUUAGCUAGUUGGUGGGGUAAAGGCCUACCAAGGCGUCGAUCCGUAGCUGGUUUGAGAGGACGACCAGCCACACUGGGACUGAGACACGGCCCAGACUCCUACGGGAGGCAGCAGUGGGGAAUUUUGGACAAUGGGGGCAACCCUGAUCCAGCCAUCCCGCGUGUGCGAUGAAGGCCUUCGGGUUGUAAAGCACUUUUGGCAGGGAAGAAAAGGCUCUGGCUAAUACCUGGAGCUGCUGACGGUACCUGCAGAAUAAGCACCGGCUAACUACGUGCCAGCAGCCGCGGUAAUACGUAGGGUGCAAGCGUUAAUCGGAAUUACUGGGCGUAAAGCGUGCGCAGGCGGUUCGGCAAGAAGGAUGUGAAAUCCCAGGGCUUAACCUUGGAACUGCAUUCUUAACUGCCGGGCUAGAGU
rnacentral:rRNA from 1 species